GAAGAGGAGUUUUGAUAUUAUCCACUUGAACUCAUGAUAAGUGUUGAAUUGGAUAAACAGACUUCCUAAAGUGACCUAGGGUUGUUCAACUGUUUUGGAUAAUCCCUGAAAUUAAGUGCACACGAGAUCUUCCAUAACCGAUUGAAGCCAUCUGCCUGCUGUAGCUCUGCCAGUCAUUUCUUCAUUCUUUCAUGGCACAAGGACAGAGGACACACAAAUAGUUUACUACCAUGACUGGCACCAAGUAAAUACUAAAUAAGUAUUAGGGUAUUCUGUCUAGAUUUUCAUCACAGAUCUCUCUGGAUCAAGCACCCAGGCCUCUUCCUUUCCUUUCUCCAAGCUCUAGGGAAGGAGUUAGUGAGACAGAAGGAUUGUCUUAAAUGUAACAGGG
rnacentral:lncRNA from 1 species